UUUUGAUUAUAAUUUAAGGUUUAAUCUGCUCAAUGAGGAUUUAAAUAGCCGCGGUAUCUUGACUGUGCAAAGGUAGCAUAAUAAUUAGUUUUUUAAUUGAGAGCUGGAAUGAAUGAUUGGACGAGAGAAUCUCUGUCUCUUAAAAAUUUAGAUUGAAUUUAAUUUUUAAGUAAAAAAGCUUAAAUAUUUUUAAAAGACGAGAAGACCCUAUAGAGUUUUAUAGUUAAAUUUUUAAUUUAAGUUUAGGAAUUUUAUUAUUUAUUAUUUUUUCUAUUUAGUUGGGGUGACUUAAAGAUUAAUUAAACUCUUUAAUAUUAAGUCAAAGAUUUUUGAAUUUUUAAUCCAAUAUUUUUGAAUAUAAAAAAAAUUACCUUAGGGAUAACAGCGUUAUUUUCUUUUGAAGUUCUUAUUUAUUGGGAAGAUUGCGACCUCGAUGUUGGAUUAAAAUUUAUUUUUGGUGAAGAAGCU
rnacentral:rRNA from 1 species